rnacentral:rRNA from 1 species
UACGAAGGGUGCAAGCGUUACUCGGAAUUACUGGGCGUAAAGGGCUCGUAGGCGGCCAACUAAGUCCGACGUGAAAUCCCCAGGCUUAACCUGGGAACUGCGUCGGAUACUGGAUGGCUUGAAUCCGGGAGAGGGAUGCGGAAUUCCAGGUGUAGCGGUGAAAUGCGUAGAUAUCUGGAGGAACACCGGUGGCGAAGGCGGCAUCCUGGACCGGCAUUGACGCUGAGGAGCGAAAGCCAGGGGAGCAAACGGG